rnacentral:rRNA from 1 species
UGAAUACGAGAUGCUACGGCGUCGAAGCAGUCUAUGUCAUACUUCCAAGAAAAGCUCGCACUGUCAUAAACAAAUAAUGCCUGUACCAUAACCGACACAGGUGGGUAGGUAGAGUAUACUAAGGGGCGCGAGAUAACUCUCUCUAAGGAACUCGGCAAAAUGACUCCGUAACUUCGGGAGAAGGAGUGCCUUAUUUAUAAGGUUGCAAUAACAAGAUCCAAGCAACUGUUUAUCAAAAACACAGGUCUCCGCUAAGUCGUAAGACGAUGUAUGGGGGCUGACGCCUGCCCAGUGCCAGAAGGUUAAAGAAGUUGGUUAGCAUUCGCGAAGCUGAUAACUGAAGCCCUGGUGAACGGCGGCCGUAACUAUAACGGUCCUAAGGUAGCGAAAUUCCUUGUCGGGUAAGUUCCGACCCGCACGAAAGGCGUAAUGAUUUGGAUACUGUCUCGGAGAGGGGCUCGGUGAAAUAGACUUGUCUGUGAAGAUGCGGACUACCUGCACCAGGACAGAAAGACCCUAUGAAGCUUUACUGUAACUUGAGAUUGAAAUUGGACUUUACUUGCGCAGUAUAGGUGGGAGGCGUUGAUAAUAUUCUUGCGGGAUUAUUUGAGCCAUCAGUGAGAUACCACUCUUGUAAUGUUAGAUUUCUAACUCUGUAUCAUUAUCUGGUCAAAGGACAGUUUCAGGCGGGCAGUUUGACUGGGGCGGUCGCCUCCUAAACGGUAACGGAGGCGCACAAAGGUUUCCUCUGAACGGGUAGAAAUCGUAUCUAGAGUGUAAAGGCAUAAGGAAGCUUGACUGUGAGACCUACAAGUCGAGCAGGGACGAAAGUCGGUCUUAGUGAUCUGACGGUGCUGAGUGGAAAGGCCGUCACUCAACGGAUAAAAGUUACUCUAGGAUAACAGGCUGAUCUCCCCCAAGAGUUCACAUCGACGGGGAGGUUUGGCACCUCGAUGUCGGCUCAUCGCAUCCUGGGGCGGUAGUACGUCCCAAGGGUUGGGCUGUUCGCCCAUGAAAGCGGUACGCGAGCUGGGUUCAGAACGUCGUGAGACAGUUCGGUCCAUAUCCGGUGUAGGCGUUAGAAUAUUGAGAGGAGCCUUCUUUAGUACGAGAGGACCGAGAAGGACAUACCUCUGGUGUACCAGUUAUCGUGCCAACGGUAAACGCUGGGUAGCUAUGUAUGGAGUGGAUAACCGCUGAAAGCAUCUAAGUGGGAAGCCCACCUCAAGAUAAGUAUUCUC